rnacentral:rRNA from 1 species
CCUACGGGUGGCUGCAGUGGGGAAUAUUGGACAAUGGGCGAAAGCCUGAUCCAGCCAUGCCGCGUGUGUGAAGAAGGCCUUCGGGUUGUAAAGCACUUUCAGUGGGGAAGAAAGCCUUGGGGCUAAUACCCUCGAGGAAGGACAUCACCCACAGAAGAAGCACCGGCUAACUCCGUGCCAGCAGCCGCGGUAAUACGGAGGGUGCGAGCGUUAAUCGGAAUUACUGGGCGUAAAGCGCGCGUAGGCGGUCUGAUAAGCCGGUUGUGAAAGCCCCGGGCUCAACCUGGGACCGGCAUCCGGAACUGUCAGGCUAGAGUGCAGGAGAGGAAGGUAGAAUUCCCGGUGUAGCGGUGAAAUGCGUAGAGAUCGGGAGGAAUACCAGUGGCGAAGGCGGCCUUCUGGACUGACACUGACGCUGAGGUGCGAAAGCGUGGGUAGCAAACAGGAUUAGAUACCCUAGUAGUC